AAACAUUAGAGAAGAAGAAGAAGCUUACGUCAUUCGACGCGACACUUUCCACGGUCGGAGCUGAUCCGGAUCACAUACACAGGAGUCACUCAUUGAAGAUGAAUCACAGCUGGACAGGGAUCUUCGAAUAAUUGAGAGACACCAUGGUGUAAAACGAAGGCGGCUCCCUUCGGAUGACAUUUUCCAGAGAACACUGAGAGAUGUUGACCAGGAACUUAGAGGUCAGCUGAUACGACGAGCACAAAAUGAAGCAAGGGAGAGGGCCACUCUUCUCAACCUGAAAAGAAGAUGUAAUGGUAACACUACUUCUUCUCUUGACUGUAUGGUCAUUAGCAAAAUUGAAGCUCAAAGGUCUUGUGGUAAACCUAAAUUUAAUCUUUAUGUUAUCCCUGCACCAUGCAUAUGUUCACUCUAGGUACUUAAGCGUCUUUAUGCAGUGUAAGAAGUGACUGGUUUAUUCCAACUUGUCCUUUGUCAUGGGUAUGUGCUUUUGAUAUGUAUAAGGUUAUUUAUCUUUGGUGUAUGAAUAUGUUUCUUGGGUGUAUCCUGUCUUUCACCUAAUGCCCGUUGUAAAUAGGCACAGAUAAGUGAGUAUUGUAAUACAUCCAUUUUCUAAUGGACAUUCAAUGAUCUUAUACAUUACGGCAGAUAUUGAGUCACUGUAAGAACUAUCAGUCUUUAUAUUCUGAGGAUAACUUUUUUAAGAGUACAAUUAAAAUAUCAUUCAAUUAUUGGCAGUAAUAGAUUUUGACCUACAAACUGAGAUUUCCUUAUGCGAACUUUAGUGUCAUGUUGAAUAUCUUGUGUAGAAUUGGCUCCCACUACUUGUGUUCACAACAUCCAAAUUGAGAUAAACACUAUUUCAGAUGUCAACCUUUUAUUAUGUUUAACAUACUUCCAUAAAUGACUAUUGUAUCAUGUUUUCAUAUUGUG